AUUGAACGCUGGCGGCGUGCUUAACACAUGCAAGUCGAUCGGUAAGGCCCUUUCGGGGUACGACGAGCGGCGAACGGGUGAGUAACACGUGGGUGACCUGCCCUCAGCUCUGGGAUAAGCCUGGGAAACCGGGUCUAAUACCGGAUAUGACUCCAUGACGCAUGUUGUGGGGUGGAAAGCCUUGUGCGGCUGAGGAUGGGCCCGCGGCCUAUCAGCUUGUUGGUGGGGUGAGGCCUACCAAGGCGACGACGGGUAGCCGGCCUGAGAGGGCGACCGGCCACACUGGGACUGAGACACGGCCCAGACUCCUACGGGAGGCAGCAGUGGGGAAUCUUGCGCAAUGGGCGAAAGCCUGACGCAGCGACGCCGCGUGAGGGAUGACGGCCUCGGUUGUAACUACUUCACGCUCCGACGAACGCGAGAGUGACGGUAGGA
rnacentral:rRNA from 1 species